ensembl:lncRNA
GCGGGAUUCUUGGAGCCACAAGUACCGGAGACAGCUUUCCACUGACGGCCAGCAGUACCGGCAUAUGACGGAGAUACUACACCGGUCGAGCGGAAUGGGAAGGAAAAGCUGAAAACUGAACAGAUGAACACAGAGGGAAACUGAGAGGGAAACUGUGCGUGCUGGAGGCUGACAGCUCCGAGGUCAAUACCCUAUUUAAGUUUGUUGAUCUUAUAUGAAGAUCGCAUCACAUCGCUUUCACUUGCACAAAAACUUCUUAGACGGAAAACCACCAUCCUCGGCACAGUCAACAAGAUUCGCCGGGAAAUUCCUCAAUCCGCGAGACACACAGAUCGCAAUGAAUUCACCACUCAGGUGUUUUCAACCUCUGCUGCCACGCUGACGGCGUAUGCGGCCAAACGGAAGAAGACAGUCUAUAUUCUUAGCAGCAUGCACAGCGUGGUUCAGACUGAUAACACCACCAAAAGGAAGCCCAACACUGUCACCCUUUACAACACCACAAAGUGUGGCGUGGAUGUGAUGGACCAGAUGGUGUGGGAGUACACUGUCCACAGAGGAACACGGCGCUGGCCAGUUGCCGUGUUCUAUAACAUGAUUG